GGUGACGGAGCAGCGCACGGGUGAGUAACACGUGGGCACCUGCCCCUCGCUCUGGGACAACUCCGGGAAACCGGGGCUAAUACCGGAUACGACCGGCUCGGGCAUCCGAUGCUGGUGGAAAGUUUUUCGGCGAGGGAUGGGCCCGCGGCCUAUCAGCUUGUUGGUGGGGUGAUGGCCUACCAAGGCGACGACGGGUAGCCGGCCUGAGAGGGCGACCGGCCACACUGGGACUGAGACACGGCCCAGACUCCUACGGGAGGCAGCAGUGGGGAAUAUUGCGCAAUGGGCGGAAGCCUGACGCAGCGACGCCGCGUGAGGGAUGACGGCCUUCGGGUGUAAACCUCUUUCAGCAGGGACGAAUUCAGACGGUACCUGCAGAAGAAGCACCGGCCAACUACGUGCCAGCAGCCGCGGUAAUACGUAGGGUGCAAGCGUUGUCCGGAAUUAUUGGGCGUAAAGAGCUCGUAGGCGGUCUGUCGCGUCGGCUGUGAAAACUCGGGGCUCAACCCCGAGCCUGCAGUCGAUACGGGCAGACUAGAGUGCUGUAGGGGAGACUGGAAUUCCUGGUGUAGCGGUGAAAUGCGCAGAUAUCACGAGGAACACCGGUGACGAAGGCGGGUCUCUGGGCAGUAACUGACGCUGACGAGCGAAAGCGUGGGAGCGAACCAGGAUUAGAUACCCUGGUAGUCCACGCCGUACACUGUGGGUUGCUACGUGUGAGCAGUAUUCA
rnacentral:rRNA from 1 species